CCAAGAUCACGAGAAAAAUAAUGGAAGCAUGCUACAUGUAUGUCUUCGGUUUCUGAACAGACGACACAGUCUACUGACAUUACAAGUGACUGCAAUGAGUUACAGAGGUGAGGGCCAACAACAAUCCUGGAAAAGAGGUGGUCGUGGCUGGGAUCGUGGUCGCAGAUACGGCAAUAGAAGUAGGGAAGAUCAGGAUGGUGAUGGUAAAGAAAGGGGUGGAGGUGGAUGGAGAGGAGGGAGACGGAGAGGAGGAAGAUGGAAUGGAGAGCAUGAAGGAGGAGGGGGAAGAGGGAGACAGAGAGGAGGGAGAUGGGAUGGAGAGCAUGAAGGAGGGGGAGGAGGAGGAAACAGAGGCAGAGAGCGACCACCGCCAGGGUUGUCUGGCAGAGAAAUUGGCAUGUGGUAUGCAGGCAGACAGAAAACCAAAACUGCAAGGAGGGAAAAUGAAAUGACCCCUGUGGUGAACUUACAAGGUAAUAUGGAACGAAAGAUUCGUAACCUCCUGGACGAUAUCCAGACAGGGGACAACGUCCAGCCACAACCAUCACGAUCUGGAGCCUCUUUGGACCAGGACGUGGGUGAAUCAGAUGGGCGGCCAUCAACAUCUUAUGCUGGCGGUCGCAAUCAACAGAAUUUUGCAAGACCAAGCACUGCAUCAGGUGAAAGAGGUCAAGGUUCACAAGGAUAUUCAGGAUUCAAAAUCAAAUCGGAGAGAGAUGGGAGCAGAAAAGUUUCUUCCUAUGAUGCAUGGAAUGACACCGAUGCUGACAAAAUGGAGACUGAUGCCAUGGGAAUUGGCUUCUCAGGGGAGGUAACUGGUGAAGAGGAACAGUUAUUUGAACCAGAUGAGGGGGAUUAUAAUGAAUGUGAUGUGUUACCAAUGGAUGAGGAGGCCAUGCAGUACACUGCUGAUGAGAUUGGACACAUCUUUGAUGAUGAAAUGAAUGAUGAAGCAGUGGAGGAUAUAGGGAUGGGCAGGGACCCAGAAUUAGACAGGCUACUGAUGGACCAGGCAGAGGACAGAAAGACUAACACACAAUUUAUGAAGAUGCUGGACUUCAGAAAAAAACUGCCUUCUUAUAACAAGAGACAGGAAAUUAUGGAAGCAUUGGAAUCACACCAGUGCCUGGUGAUCAGUGGGGAGACUGGGUGUGGAAAGACUACACAGGUGCCCCAAUUUAUAUUGGAUGACUACAUAUCCCGCGGGAAGGGAUCACAGUGUAAGGUCAUAUGUACUCAACCCAGGAGGAUCAGCGCUAUAACUGUAAGUAUGAGGUAUGAGGGGAGGAUCAGUGCUAUAACUGUCGCUGAACGAGUGGCUGAUGAGCGCGGACAGUCGGUUGGAAAAGAGGGUGACAUUGGAUACUCCAUAAGGCUGGAGAGACAUUUACCAAGGAAGAAGGGAUCAGUUUUAUACUGUACCACAGGUAUUUUGUUGAAAUACUUGGAACUUGAUCCGUCCCUGAGGCGAGCGAGCCACAUCAUUGUAGAUGAGAUACAUGAGAGAGACGUAUUGUCCGACUUCCUUCUCAUCAUCCUGAAGGACCUCCUCCCCAAACGUCCUGACCUCAAGGUCAUUCUAAUGAGUGCUACAUUGAAUGCCGAACAAUUCUCAAAUUACUUCAAUGGCAGCCCCAUGCUACAUAUCCCAGGAUUCACGUAUCCUGUGAAGGAGUACUGGCUAGAAGACGCCAUACAAAUGACAGGUUAUCAGCCCAGCCAACAGAAGAAGCCGGCAUUUAACCCCAGAAAACAGAAACAAAAGUGUCAGCUUGAAAUAGAAGAAACAAAGACAUGGUUAAAAACACUUGACCCAGCAAAGUACUCGCAGUCAACACGGAGGGCAAUAGAAAACAUGGAUAUGGACGAGGUGGACAUCGAACUCAUACACAGAGUCAUCCAUCACAUCUGCUUCAAAAUGGAUGGAGAUGGUGCUAUUUUGGUGUUUGUACCUGGUAUGGCAGAAAUAAAAAAUGUGAAUAAAAGUUUAGUUGAGACACCAGUUUUCAACAGCAGUAAUUUUCGGAUUAUUCCUCUUCAUUCGAUGAUGCCUACGGUGAACCAGAAAGAGGUUUUUGAUAGACCUCCCCCGGGGGUCAGGAAGAUCAUCAUUGCAACCAACAUCGCCGAGACCAGUAUAACCAUUGAUGAUGUCGUGUAUGUGGUGGAUUGUGGGAAGAUAAAAGUAAAGGAUUUUGAGCCGGAGAUCAAUCUGGCCACGUUGACGAGCCAGCCGGUGUCCAAAGCCAAUGCUAGACAGAGGCGGGGUCGAGCUGGGCGUGUACAGGAGGGGGUGUGUUUCCACCUAUACACAAGUCACCAGCAGGAAUCACUGCAGGACUACCUUCUGCCGGAGAUUCUUCGCACCCCUCUAGAGGAGCUGUGUCUGCAGAUAAAGCUGUUAAAACUGGGCAAGAUUGAGCCAUUCAUCAGCAAGGCCAUGCAGCAGCCAUCCCCCGAGGCCCUGCACAUCGCCCUGGUAACGCUUCGUGAUCUGAAAGCUCUGGAUGAAAAUGAGAACCUGCUGCCCCUUGGUCAUCACUUGGCACGGAUGCCUGUUGACCCAAAGUCCGGCAAGAUGAUCCUGUUUGGUGCCAUGUUCGGCUGUCUAGACCCUAUAUGCACCAUUGCCGCUAGUCUGAGCUUCAAGAGUGCCUUUGUUACUCCUCUGGGGAAAGAGAGUGAAGCUGACAGGGCCAAGGUUAAGUUGUCUGAUGGGAGCCAAAGUGACCACAUCAUGCUGGUCAAUGCUUUCAAGGGCUGGGAAAAAGCCAAGCGACAAGGAACAGGCUCACAGUACUGCUGGGAAAAUUUCUUGUCCCCCAGUAUUCUCAAGCAACUGGAUGGAAUGAAGGGACAGUUUGGGGAAUUUCUACAUGCUCGCAGAUUUAUCAACACUCGGAAUCCUUCUGACCGAUCAGUAAACAUGAAUUCUGAUAAUGAGAAUUUGGUGAAGGCGGUUAUAUGUGCCGGAUUGUACCCGAAUGUGGCAAAGCUAUUCAAGAAAAACAUUCAGAAGUAUAGACAAGUGCCGUUCCUCCUCAAUGGUGAAAGGAAUAAAGUUUACCUGCACCCGGCAUCUGUUAACAACAGUAACAGAAAUUUUAACUCCUCUUGGUUCAUCUAUCACAAGAAGAUGAAAACUGCUCAAGUGUACCUGUAUGACACCAGUAUGGUCUCUCCCUACCCGCUCCUGUUUUUCGGGGGUGAAAUUGGAACACACAGAGAAAGCAUGCUAAUCCAAGAUUUCCUGAUAAGGAAACAUCAAGAUCUACAGCACAAAACAUCAAAGAUGGUGACAUGAGGACAAAGAUCACCAUUGACAACUGGAUAUCGUUCUGGGCCAAUCAGUCAACAUCUCAGAUGGUUAAGGACCUUCGACAACAACUAGACAGAAUAUUGGAGGAAAAGAUCAAGCGGCCAGGUGUGACAGACUGGUCCAAAAAAAGCAGAGAGG
rnacentral:misc_RNA from 1 species